GGCUUCGCAGCUCAGCUGGUAGAGCAUUUGCAGCGUUUGAGUAUGUUGUUUCUAUCACUGGUUCGAAUCCAGUCGAAGUUC